rnacentral:lncRNA from 1 species
CGGGGGGUAGGGGAAGAAUUCUAGCUGGGCUAUUUAACAGCUCUGGACUCAAGGCAAGUCGCUCAACAUGGAAGCCUUUGUUUUCUCAUUUACAAAAUGGGACUGUUCUGUCCUCCCAAGCUGAAGAUGAAGUGAUUGUGAGAACCCUCUGUAAACUGUGAGACACGGAAUAAACGUGAGCCGUGAUCACCAAAUGCUUCCCCUUUCUUUGGUGUCUCCUAGGUGCACAGAUGGAGAAGAAACGAACCACCGCCAAGUUCAACCACAAAGCAGGCUUGUUAAGUCCCAGAAUCUGUGGAAAGGAGAUCCUCACUCACAGAGGGCCCCUGAAGGCAUCUGACUUCAUUAAAUUGCAAAGGGCAUAUCUGAUUCAAUUCUUAAGCACUCCCAGCCGCACUGAGAGGGCAGCUUCUUUACUGCUACAAGGCCUGAACAUCUUGGGCUCUGCAGAGGGAGAACCCGGAAUGAAACCGCCACUCGCCUGGAGCUCAAAGUUCGGAGGAAGAGAGAGCAAAUAUUUUCAGUGCAAGUGCAUGUGAAUGCUGUAAGUAUCUACCUCGGGGGUGGUAGGAAGGCGAAAAGGGGAAAAUGUGCCUUCAUCCCUAGUUGACCGGGAAGGAAGGGAUGGUACUUGACAGAGUCUUGUGACCGCCCAGACCACAAUGGACAGGAUGAGGAGGCGCCGGCUCUGGUGGUGGCGUUAAACAAGCUGGGGGAGGGAGACCACCUUGUAUGAGCGCACAGGCAUCAGGGUGAUGCACUCUAUCUGAAGAACUGCAUGGUGUGGAAGAGCCAUGUGCACCGGCAAGGAGGGGAGGCCAAGGGCAAGACACAGAAGCCCCUGCAGCCCCCGCCCCCAAGGAGACUUCAGGAUGGGAUUACGCAGGGACAGCUGGAAGGAAUAUCUAACCCGGAAGGAAUAUCUAAACAGUCUUUCUGCAGAAAAGAGAAACACCGGGCCCUUGGAAUUACAUUUGGAACACACCUUUACCUACACACAAUUUAAAGGCCCAAAGUCUCUUCUCUGUGGUUAUGGCUGGAUGAUUUCCAAAGUGAGACAUGUUCCAAGUAAGUGAAAAUAAUUGUUAGAAAUUGGUCUGAUGACCUUGAUCACAGUUUCGUCAUCAGGUACAAUGUCUACCGUGAAGGGCAAACUGAUGACAGCACACCCGUGUCCUUAGAAACAGGCACCAGGUCCUGCUGGGAAGAAUUAGCACUGAGGCAUCUAAGUCAGGGCUUUCCAAACUUGUCAGUGCCCCAGUAACAAGGAGGCUUGUUAAAGCACAGAGCCCAGGGCACCAUCCCCAGGGACUCUGAUUUACUAGGUGGAAUGUGCAUCUCUAACAGGUUCCCAGGAUCUGCAGAUACUCCCAGCGGGGGGCUCACAUCCUGAAUCCUAAGGGACCCCAGGGCCACACAGCACUUUAGUCCCAGAGACAGGAGGAAUGCACCCACAUCCUUGACACCAAACCCUUCUCUAAAAGCGACUAAAAAGCUUUUUAUAUUAAGUAUCUUGGAUGUCUCCAUCCUGCUAAAUUGAGAACCAAAAGUAAUUGAAGUUUCAAUAAUUCAUCAACAUCUUAGAAGCCAAAAUAGGAAAUUUCCCUCAGAGCGAAUUGCAUUCAACAGUGUAACAGCUAAAAGUGCCUCACGCUCUCCUGUGGCUUCCAGUAACGGGGGGUUAAUGGGAACACGAGUCAUCCUCAUCGCACACCAGACACAGGGCAGACCGCAGAAUAGUUUAAAGACCAGAAAAACACAUGCUUGUUAAAGCCAAAGGGCAU